rnacentral:rRNA from 1 species
UAGGGAAUCUUCCGCAAUGGACGAAAGUCUGACGGAGCAACGCCGCGUGAGUGAAGAAGGAUUUCGGUUCGUAAAACUCUGUUGUUAGGGAAGAAAAAAUGUAUAGUAACUAUAUACAAAAGAGACGGUACCUAACCAGAAAGCCACGGCUAACUACGUGCCAGCAGCCGCGGUAAUACGUAGGUGGCAAGCGUUGUCCGGAAUUAUUGGGCGUAAAGCGCGCGCAGGUGGUUUAGAAAGUCUGAUGUGAAAGCCCACGGCUCAACCGUGGGGGGUCAUUUGAAACUAAUAAACUUGGAUGCAGGGGGAAAAAGUGGAAUUCCUGGGGUAACCGUGGAAUGCGUAAAGAUUAGGAGGAACACCGGUGGCGAAAGCGGCUUUUUGGCCUGCAACUGACACUGAGGCGCGAAAGCGUGGGGAGCAAACAGG